rnacentral:snoRNA from 1 species
GCCCAGGUUCAAAUCUGCCACUUACUAGCUGUGUGACCAUGGGUAAAUUACUUAACCUCACUGGGCUUCAGUUUUCCCAUAUGUGAAAUGAACGUAAUAAUAGUACUUACCUCAUUGGAUUGUUAUGAUGAUUAAAU